ACGACUGCUAAGACUGGAUAGGAGACAAGAGGGCAUCUUCUUGUUUUUAAAAGACCUAGCAAUAGGUAUGCUUAGGGGGGAGCUUGCGUCACAUUAGUUAGUUGGUGGGGUAAAGGCCUACCAAGACUAUGAUGAGUAGCCGGGCUGAGAGGUUGAACGGCCGCAUUGGGACUGAGACACGGCCCAAACUCCUACGGGAGGCAGCAGUAGGGAAUUUUCGGCAAUGGAGGAAACUCUGACCGAGCAACGCCGCGUGAACGAUGAAGUAUUUCGGUACGUAAAGUUCUUUUAUUAGGAAAGAAUAAAUGAUGGAAAAAUCAUUCUGACGGUACCUAAUGAAUAAGCCCCGGCUAACUAUGUGCCAGCAGCCGCGGUAAUACAUAGGGGGCAAGCGUUAUCCGGAAUUAUUGGGCGUAAAGGGUGCGUAGGCGGUUAAAUAAGUUUAUGGUCUAAGUGCAAUGCUCAACAUUGCGAUGCUAUAAAAACUGUUUAGCUAGAGUAAGAUAGAGGCAAGUGGAAUUCCAUGUGUAGUGGUAAAAUGCGUAAAUAUAUGGAGGAACACCAGUAGCGAAGGCGGCUUGCUGGGUCUUUACUGACGCUGAGGCACGAAAGCGUGGGGAGCAAACAGGAUUAGAUACCCUGGUAGUCCACGCCGUAAACGAUGAGUACUAAACGUUGGGUAAAACCAGUGUUGAAGUUAACACAUUAAGUACUCCGCCUGAGUAGUACGUACGCAAGUAUGAAACUUAAAGGAAUUGACGGGACUCCGCACAAGCGGUGGAUCAUGUUGUUUAAUUCGAAGGUACCCGAAAAACCUCACCAGGUCUUGACAUGCUUCUGCAAAGCUGUAGAAACACAGUGGAGGUUAUCAGUUGCACAGGUGGUGCAUGGUUGUCGUCAGCUCGUGUCGUGAGAUGUUGGGUUAAGUCCCGCAACGAGCGCAACCCUUAUUGUUAGUUACCAGCACGUAAUGGUGGGGACUUUAGCAAGACUGCCAGUGAUAAAUUGGAGGAAGGUGGGGACGACGUCAAAUCAUCAUGCCCCUUAUGACCUGGGUUACAAACGUGAUACAAUGGCUGUUACAAAGGGUAGCUGAAGCGCAAGUUUUUGGCGAAUCUCAAAAAAACAGUCUCAGUUCGGAUUGAAGUCUGCAACUCGACUUCAUGAAGUUGGAAUCGCUAGCAAUCGCGAAUCAGCAUGUCGCGGUGAAUACGCUGACGGGGUUUGUACACAGCGCCCGUCAA
rnacentral:rRNA from 1 species